UAGACCAGAGGCGAACACACCUCUGGCCAGGGAAGAGAAGGAGGCAUGUACCCCUCUUCUAUCGAACGACAAAGAGGAAAAAGAGACGUGCAGGACUCCUCUUGCUUCUCCCUACAAAAAAGAGAGUUGUGAGGAGAGAGAGGGAGAGAGAGAAAGAAAGAAAGAGAGAGAGAGAGAGAGAGAGAGAGAGAAAGAGAGAGACAUAAUAGUAAAUGAGUUAGGGGAACCAGAGAAGGAGAUUGACAGCAGCAUGGGCAACUUAUCCCGUCGUGACCAGGCAGAAGAGAGGGAUCAAUCGGCAGCCGUGUGUCAUCCUAGAUCUGUACAACUAAUAACUACAUGAAGCCAGAAGAUGAAGAGACAAUAUGCAUGGCAGAAGAAGAGGAAAACUCGCAAUGCGCACGAGGCAGUCUGUUGUGAUUUUUGACUAGUUGUGGCAAUCUUGGCGUAACAUGUGGUGGUUCGGCAAUGGCAAGUGUGAGCGCCAGUGACAAGGCAUGGAAGCACAUAUGGAGAUUUUGAUGGUUACACAUGGGUAGAUUUUGCAUUUAGGAAAUUUUUUAGGAAUCAAAUUCGAGAGUGGAAAAAGUUAAGUGCAUAUAUACUUAUAAAUAAUUUGAUAUGUUGAUUAAUUAACAAUAUCUAUUAGGCAAUUUUUAAUUAA